CUUAUCAUUAAAUUUCAUUUGCCUUGCCGAGCGGAUCUUGAACGGUCGUGUUUCGGAAAACUCUGCCUAUCCUGAAGAGGUAAAAGUUAAAGGAACAUACAAGUGGAGUUCCCCAAAGGAGAACAAUUGGGGAAGUGAGUGGAAGGCUAUAUCAGUUUCUUGGAGAGAAACUGAAACGAGGCAUCUUUUCUGGUCCCUACACUGCAAGAAAGGAAAG